rnacentral:lncRNA from 1 species
AGAGCAUGAACUACAUGUUGAUCAUAUCAACAUGUUUCUAUACUACAUCUAAUGUAUGUAUUAAACAAUAGAUCAGAUCUAUUACCUUGCAAGUUAGACGUUCUAACCUCACUGAUCCAGGCUUGAGGAUGAUGUUGCAAGCCACACAUAUAUUCAGCCUCUAGGAGUCAUCCACACAAGCCCACGAAUCUCGAUCAGAAGUCCUGCUUCAGGAAAUCAGCACAGUAUGCUAGUACUGCGCUGAUCCUUCUUUGAUGGUUGAUCAGGUGCCUCCUUCUUAUUGAUUUGGACUCUUCCAAAGAUGGAAGUA